CGCUGUGAAGAUGCAGUGUACCCGCGGCAAGACGGAAAGACCCCGUGAACCUUUACUAUAGCUUGACACUGAACAUUGAGCCUUGAUGUGUAGGAUAGGUGGGAGGCUUUGAAGUGUGGACGCCAGUCUGCAUGGAGCCGACCUUGAAAUACCACCCUUUAAUGUUUGAUGUUCUAACGUGGACCCGUUACCCGGGUUGCGGACAGUGUCUGGUGGGUAGUUUGACUGGGGCGGUCUCCUCCUAAAGAGUAACGGAGGAGCACGAAGGUUGGCUAAUCCUGGUCGGACAUCAGGAGGUUAGUGCAAUGGCAUAAGCCAGCUUGACUGCGAGCGUGACGGCGCGAGCAGGUGCGAAAGCAGGUCAUAGUGAUCCGGUGGUUCUGAAUGGAAGGGCCAUCGCUCAACGGAUAAAAGGUACUCCGGGGAUAACAGGCUGAUACCGCCCAAGAGUUCAUAUCGACGGCGGUGUUUGGCACCUCGAUGUCGGCUCAUCACAUCCUGGGGCUGAAGUAGGUCCCAAGGGUAUGGCUGUUCGCCAUUUAAAGUGGUACGCGAGCUGGGUUUAGAACGUCGUGAGACAGUUCGGUCCCUAUCUGCCGUGGGCGCUGGAGAACUGAGGGGGGCUGCUCCUAGUACGAGAGGACCGGAGUGGACGCAUCACUGGUGUUCGGGUUGUCAUGCCAAUGGCACUGCCCGGUAGCUAAAUGCGGAAGAGAUAAGUGCUGAAAGCAUCUAAGCACGAAACUUGCCCCGAG
rnacentral:rRNA from 1 species